GCCCAGACUCCUACGGGAGGCAGCAGUGAGGAAUAUUGGUCGAUGGGCGAGAGCCUGAACCAGCCAAGUAGCGUGCAGGAUGACGGCCCUAUGGGUUGUAAACUGCUUUUAUAAGGGAAUAAAGUGAGUCUCGUGAGACUUUUUGCAUGUACCUUAUGAAUAAGGACCGGCUAAUUCCGUGCCAGCAGCCGCGGUAAUACGGAAGGUCCGGGCGUUAUCCGGAUUUAUUGGGUUUAAAGGGAGCGUAGGCCGGAGAUUAAGCGUGUUGUGAAAUGUAGACGCUCAACGUCUGCACUGCAGCGCGAACUGGUUUCCUUGAGUACGCACAAAGUGGGCGGAAUUCGUGGUGUAGCGGUGAAAUGCUUAGAUAUCACGAAGAACUCCGAUUGCGAAGGCAGCUCACUGGAGCGCAACUGACGCUGAAGCUCGAAAGUGCGGGGUAUCGAACAGGAUUAGAUACCCUGGUAGUCCGCACGGUAAACGAUGGAUGCCCGCUGUUGGUCUGAAAUAGGUCAGCGGCCAAGCGAAAAGCAUUAAGCAAUCCCACCUGGGGAGGUACGCCGGCAACGGUGAAACUCAAAGGAAUUGACGGGGGCCCGCACAAGCGGAGGAACAUGUGGUUUAAUUCGAUGAUACGCGAGGAACCUUACCCGGGCUUGAAUUGCAGAGGAAGGAUUUGGAGACAAUGACGCCCUUCGGGGCCUCUGUGAAGGUGCUGCAUGGUUGUCGUCAGCUCGUGCCGUGAGGUGUCGGCUUAAGUGCCAUAACGAGCGCAACCCCUCUCCUUAGUUGCCAUCAGUUGAAGCUGGGCACUCUGGGGACACUGCCACCGUAAGGUGUGAGGAAGGUGGGGAUGACGUCAAAUCAGCACGACCCUUACGUCCGGGGCUACACACGUGUUACAAUGGCAGGUACAGAGAGACGGUCCCUUGCAAAACGGAUCAAAUCCUUAAAGCCUGUCUCAGUUCGGACUGGGGUCUGCAACCCGACCCCACGAAGCUGGAUUCGCUAGUAAUCGCGCAUCAGCCAUGGCGCGGUGAAUACGUUCCCGGGCCUUGUACACACCGCCCGUCAAGCCAUGAAAGCCGGGGGCGCCUAAAGUCCGUGACCGUAAGGAGCGGCCUAGGGCGAAACUGGUAAUUGGGGCUAAGUCGUAACAAGGUAGCCG
rnacentral:rRNA from 1 species